GUGGGGAGUUAGCUGUAAAGAAUCACCUAUAGCAUCCUAAUUGUAGGGAGCCCUAGGGAAGAAGAACUACUCACAGUCUCUGUAAGCCUUUACCCAUCUGACCCACAGGUCAAGAAGAAACCCGCUACAAGCCAUACUUUCAGCCUCAUCCGAUUCGUUCUGCUCCAGUGAUCAUCAUCAAUAAUCCCGGACACAGCGGACAAACCCAACAUGAUACAGGUAAAGCCUGCAGCUGCAAUACAUCCUGAAGAGCCGGUGAAUGGCCCUCUGUUGUUCCUGCGGAGAGGAUUCUGACAGCCUGUACGCCUUCAUUACACCUUUUAUAAACCACCGUGGAGUUACACACUCAACAACUCAACAAAAACUCGCCGCAGUAUGAUGUGGAUGUCAUCAUUGUAUACUGACUUUGUAAAAAUAAAUAAAC
ensembl:lncRNA